rnacentral:rRNA from 1 species
CCGCCUGGGGAGUACGGUCGCAAGACUGAAACUCAAAGGAAUUGACGGGGACCCGCACAAGCAGUGGAGUAUGUGGUUUAAUUCGAAGCAACGCGAAGAACCUUACCAGGUCUUGACAUCCCUCUGACCGGUCUAGAGAUAGAUCUUUCCUUCGGGACAGAGGAGACAGGUGGUGCAUGGUUGUCGUCAGCUCGUGUCGUGAGAUGUUGGGUUAAGUCCCGCAACGAGCGCAACCCUUAUGCUUAGUUGCCAGCAGGUCAAGCUGGGCACU